CUGAGAUCGCACCACUGCACUCCAGCUUGGGCAACAGAGUGAGACUCUGUCUCAAAAAAAAAAAGAAAGGAAAAGAAAGGACCACUUGUUAUAGAAAGCCUGUCUUUUAAGGUAGCUCUGGACCUUUUCAGAGGCAGCCAAAUUGCCCCUCAUGGUUCGUCCCCCACAUCCCCGCCUGCCUGGCCUAAGUCCUCCUUCCCCCUCCCCAACAGUUAAAUAAGUCUUUGUCUCCAUUACAAAACAAAUCUCAGAGCUACCUUCAAAGAAGAGCCAGCCCUCAGUUGGUGAAUGAAGAUACUUUGACAUUUUCCUAUGAGCAUGGUGAAACAGGUUUAAUUUGUAUUAAAUAGCUUGAAGCAAUCCUUAUUGGGAAUUACAAGGUGGAAUUUUAGUCACAGGAAAAUAAAGCAUUUCACAAGCUACUUACUUUCAUGAACAAA
rnacentral:lncRNA from 10 species